AGUGAACGCUGGCGGUAGGCCUAACACAUGCAAGUCGAACGGCAGCACAGUAAGAGCUUGCUCUUACGGGUGGCGAGUGGCGGACGGGUGAGGAAUACAUCGGAAUCUACUUUUUCGUGGGGGAUAACGUAGGGAAACUGACGCUAAUACCGCAUACGACCUACGGGUGAAAGCAGGGGAUCUUCGGACCUUUCGCGAUUGAAUGAGCCGAUGUCGGAUUAGCUAGUUGGCGGGGUAAAGGCCCACCAAGGCGACGAUCCGUAGCUGGUCUGAGAGGAUGAUCAGCCACACUGGAACUGAGACACGGUCCAGACUCCUACGGGAGGCAGCAGUGGGGAAUAUUGGACAAUGGGCGCAAGCCUGAUCCAGCCAUACCGCGUGGGUGAAGAAGGCCUUCGGGUUGUAAAGCCCUUUUGUUGGGAAAGAAAAGCAGCAGGUUAAUACCCCGCUGUUCUGACGGUACCCAAAGAAUAAGCACCGGCUAACUUCGUG
rnacentral:rRNA from 1 species